rnacentral:tRNA from 2 species
GCGGCGGUCGUCUAGCCUGGACUAGGACUCGAGCCUCCCGAGCUCGUGACCCGGGUUCAAAUCCCGGCCGCCGCACCA